rnacentral:lncRNA from 1 species
UCUCUCUCUCUCUCUCUCUCUCUCUCUCUCUCUCUCUCUCUCUCUCUCUCUUCUCUCUCUCUCUCCGACUCUACCGUCGCCGGUGGCGGCGUCGUUCUGCCGGCGCCAUUCCACCAUCACCGGCCACCAAACAGCCCUAAUUUCAAUUUGUAAUCUACGCCAUCAAACUCCCCCCUUAUUUCUCUCUCUCUCUCUCUCUCCCUCCAUUUUUUUCUCACUCUCUCUCUCUCUACUGUUAGGGAUCUCUGUUCCGGUGUCUUGCCGCCGCCUCUGCCGUUGCCUUGCCGCCGCCUCUGCCGUUGCCUUGCCGCCGCCUCAUCUGUGAAAGCUGCCGUUUCAAAGUUUGGUGGAAUCGUUGACUGGAAAGCCCACCAGAAGCAGACUAUCGAG